GUAAGGAAUAUUGCGCAAUGGGGGAAACCCUGACGCAGCAACGCCGCGUGGAGGAUGACACUUUUCGGAGCGUAAACUCCUUUUAUCAGGAAAGAAUAAUGACGGUACCUGAUGAAUAAGCACCGGCUAACUCCGUGCCAGCAGCCGCGGUAAUACGGGGGGUGCAAGCGUUACUCGGAAUCACUGGGCGUAAAGGACGCGUAGGCGGAUUAUCAAGUCUUUUGUGAAAUCUAGUGGCUUAACCACUAAACUGCUUAGGAAACUGAUAGUCUAGAGUAGGGGAGAGGUAGAUGGAAUUCUUGGUGUAGGGGUAAAAUCCGUAGAGAUCAAGAAGAAUACCCAUUGCGAAAGCGAUCUGCUGGAACCUAACUGACGCUGAGGCGUGAAAGCGUGGGUAGCAAACAGGAUUAGAAACCCUAGUAGUCC
rnacentral:rRNA from 1 species